AGUGCACAGCGCAGGCCUAACACAUGCAAGUCGAGGGGUAAUAGGGAAGCUCGCUUCCGCUGACGACCGGCGCACGGGUGCGUAACGCGUAUGAAACCUGCCUUAUACUGGGGGAUAGCCCGAAGAAAUUCGGAUUAAUACCCCAUAACACUACAAAAUCGCAUGAUUUAGUAGUUAAAACUCCGGUGGUAUAAGAUGGUCAUGCGUGACAUUAGCUAGUUGGUAAGGUAACGGCUUACCAAGGCGACGAUGUCUAGGGGUUCUGAGAGGAGGGUCCCCCACACUGGUACUGAGACACGGACCAGACUCCUACGGGAGGCAGCAGUGAGGAAUAUUGGUCAAUGGACGCAAGUCUGAACCAGCCAUGUCGCGUGCAGGAAGACUGCCCUAUGGGUUGUAAACUGCUUUUAUACGGGAAGAAAUAUAGUUACGUGUAAUUAUUUGCCGGUACCGUAUGAAUAAGCAUCGGCUAACUCCGUGCCAGCAGCCGCGGUAAUACGGAGGAUGCGAGCGUUAUCCGGAUUCAUUGGGUUUAAAGGGUGCGUAGGCGGAAUAUUAAGUCAGGGGUGAAAGUUUGUGGCUCAACCAUAAAAUUGCCUUUGUUACUGGUAUUCUUGAGUACAUUUGAGGUAGGCGGAACGUGUUGUGUAGCGGUGAAAUGCUUAGAUAUAACACAGACACCGAUUGCGAAGGCAGCUUACUAAACUGUCACUGACGCUGAUGCACGAAAGCGUGGGGAUCGAACAGGAUUAGAUACCCUGGUAGUCCACGCCGUAACGAUGAUCACUAGUUGUUUGCAAUAGACCGUAAGCGACAAAGCGAAAGCAUUAAGUGAUCCACCUGGGGGGGUACGUUGGCAACAAUGAAACUCAAA
rnacentral:rRNA from 1 species